rnacentral:rRNA from 1 species
GACGAACGCUGGCGGCGUGCUUAACACAUGCAAGUCGAGCGAGAGAAAUUCCUUCGGGAAGGACUCUAGCGGCGGACGGGUGAGUAACACGUGGGUAACUUGCCUCAUAGAGGGGAAUAGCCUUUCGAAAGGAAGAUUAAUAUCGCAUAAGAUUGUAGUAUCGCAUGAUGCAGCAAUUAAAGGAGUAAUCCGCUAUGAGAUGGACCCGCGUCGCAUUAGCUAGUUGGUGAGGUAACGGCUCACCAAGGCGACGAUGCGUAGCCGACCUGAGAGGGUGAUCGGCCACAUUGGGACUGAGACACGGCCCAGACUCCUACGGGAGGCAGCAGUGGGGAGUAUUGCACAAUGGGGGAAACCCUGAUGCAGCAACGCCGCGUGAGUGAUGACGGUCUUCGGAUUGUAAAACUCUGUCUUCAGGGACGGUAAUGACGGUACCUGAGGAGGAAGCCACGGCUAACUACGUGCCAGCAGCCGCCGUAA